UACGAAGGGAGCUAGCGUUGUUCGGAAUCACUGGGCGUAAAGCGCACGUAGGCCGAUUCGUAAGUCAGGGGUGAAAUCCCGGGGCUCAACCUCGGAACUGCCUCUGAUACUGCGAAUCUCGAGUCCGGAAGAGGUGGGUGGAAUUCCUAGUGUAGAGGUGAAAUUCGUAGAUAUUAGGAAGAACACCGGUGGCGAAGGCGGCCCACUGGUCCGGUACUGACGCUGAGGUGCGAAAGCGUGGGGAGCAAACAGG
rnacentral:rRNA from 1 species